UGUGGGUAACUGUUUACUUGUUUACCUGUUUACCUUAGCCUUCCUGAUGGGAGUAAUACAUAGGAUCGGCUGUCAAACCUUUUAUAUCCUGCAGGCUGCGCUGCAAGCCAACUUGAGACAAUUCAGAUAGAAAUCUUUGCGAGAGUUGCUAAACAUCUCAUUUGUCUUGGUCCAUUCUCUUUGUUAUUUCCUUUUAGAUGUUAGCUGAAUCAGUGACAUCGCUCUUCAGUGACUAUUAUCUACUUAGUUAGGACUCAAUUGGAUGUUAAAAAGGUUGCCGGAAAAAGUGUUCUUGAGAAAAUUGCAGUAAAAUCAGAAAAAGAGAAGGGAAGUCAUUCUCUAGAAUUCUUUGUUUGAAAGGAAAUGACUGUUAAUUGAGAAGAAGACCAUGUUCACUUGCCACAAAAAAAAAAGGAGGGGCCAUUUUCCUUUUCUUUCAUUUACAGGACUUUGGAGGAAAUCUUGCGUGGUGGAAUGCUUUUAACUGCUUCUCUAACAACUUUAUUUCUAAUAAAAUGAAUAAAAAAUUGUAACAAUUAACUUCCGGUACUUUGCUGUUGCUUUCUGCCCAAUUGAAUCGUACCUGUGUGCCUAAUUGCAAGUAAGUUUGUGUUUUAAGGAGAAUAAGGUUGUGCGGAUCUCGGGCAUCUCUCUUGUGUUAAGGCAUUUCUUGGUUUCUAACUUUCUGCCGCGAGUCAUUACUCAGAUAAGAGUAUUGAGGUGUCUGACACUAAGAAUUUCCUAUCAGUCUGAGUUGAAAAGUGCAAGGGUUAUCUGUUGUUUGACAUGAAUGCAUUUGGCAUAUAAUUAGUUGCUAUAUUUAUGGAAACUGUGUCAUGAUUUUGGUCAUAGGAGAUAUUCUAUUAUCUGUAUGGUUGCCUCAUCACAGUGAGUCUUGGGUGUUAAUUGUAAAUGUAGCAGUCGUGUCGCUCUGAUGUAUAGUGUUAUUGUACCUUAUUAAUGUUUUUUGAUUUGGUUUUUUGUUAGGCCCUCGGUAUGGAGAGGCUAAAAUCCGAACUUCAAGUGCGUGGGUUGAAGUGUGGGGGCACUCUGCAAGAACGGGCAGCCAGGCUUUUCCUACUCAAAACCACACUUUUGGAGAAGCUUCCAAAGAAGUUGCUCGCUAAGAAAUAAUUGUGUGCGCAUUUGUUUUGCUUUCGAGAAGCUGGUUGUACUUGUAAACUCAGAUGUUUAAGGGAAGUGUCAGCUUUUUCUUCAUUUGACGCACCAUGUAGAAUUGUAGAUAUGAGUGUAUUUUACUGUGUUUCAGAACAUGUCCGAGAACGAUGAUUAGUAGUUCGAAUUUCAGAGUUAUAAAAGGUGACUAAUGUUUAUUUUGUUUCGAUACAUGUGAAUUCAACGCCGUAUGUGCAUGACUGCAUGAUCCGGUUUUAUUAAUACCAGAAGCUAACUUGUACUGGUUUUUAAAACGAAUACUCCAAUUAAAACUGCAUUAAGAAUCCUGAUAAAUUACGGUUCUCCUCUUUGGACCAUCUCUAGAAAACUUUUUUCUCUAGAUUUCCAAUUCGUUUGAAAGUGGAAGUAUUAGCUAAAGAGUUUGAAACAGAAAUUAAAAGGAUAGAAUCAACCAAGGUAAAUGCAAUUAUUGAAACAUAGUCCUUGUGGCAAGAUGUAGGCAGACACGUUAGUUACAUCAAUUUCACACUUGUCCAUAGCUCUAACAUUCAUUGAAGUCGUAGUUAAUAUUGAAGUUAUAUAGUUGCUAAGGCACUCAAUAUUGGAGAAGCAGCUCUUCACUAGCUCCUGAGGACGUGGAGAUUUGGUAGUUUAUAGCUUGAAAUAGAGAAGAGAAGUUGCUGAAGUUUUAAAACCUUCUUGGAAGUCAAUUUGGAGGCUUGGAGCAUCAUAUCGUUGUAAUCUUGAAGUGGUUGAUUUCACG
rnacentral:lncRNA from 1 species